UACGAAGGGGGCUAGCGUUGAUCGGAAUCACUGGGCGUAAAGCGCACGUAGGCGGAUCUUUAAGUCAGGGGUGAAAUCCCAAGGCUCAACCUUGGAACUGCCUUCGAUACUGGGGAUCUCGAGUCCGGAAGAGGUGAGUGGAACUGCGAGUGUAGAGGUGAAAUUCGUAGAUAUUCGCAAGAACACCAGUGGCGAAGGCGGCUCACUGGUCCGGUACUGACGCUGAGGUGCGAAAGCGUGGGGAGCAAACAGG
rnacentral:rRNA from 1 species